AUACAAGUGCUUUGAAAAGUGCAAGAAUAGUGAUGCUGGUAAUUCAGAUAUUCCAAAGAAAAGCUGUAAAGUGCUUCAUUUAAGUGAAAGGUUUU